rnacentral:rRNA from 1 species
AAUAGAUACCCAGGUAGUCCUAGCCGUAAACGAUGAACACUAGGCGUAGUCGGUAUCGACCCCGGCUGUGCCGUAGCUAACGCAUUAAGUGUUCCGCCUGGGGAGUACGGCCGCAAGGCUAAAACUCAAAGGAAUUGACGGGGGGCCCGGCACAAGCAGCGGAGCGUGUGGUUUAAUUCGUCGCAACGCGAAGAACCUUACCAGGGCUUGACAUGUGGCGGAAAACGGCGGAAACGUCGUCCUCCCGCAAGGGACCGUCAUGCAGGUGUUGCAUGGCUGUCGUCAGCUCGUGUCGUGAGAUGUUGGGUUAAGUCCCGCAACGAGCGCAACCCCCGUGGCAUGUUGUAUCUCUCAUGCCAGACUGCCGAGAGAAACUCGGAGGAAGGUGGGGAUGACGCCAAGUCAGCAGUGGCCCUUACGUCCUGGGCUACACACACGCUACAAUGGGCCGGUACAACGGGUUGCCAAACCGCGAGGUGGAGCUAAUCCCUUAAAGCCGGUCUCAGUUCGGAUUGCAGGCUGCAACUCGCCUGCA